CUGAAUUUGUAGAUUUGAUAAUUACCAUGAUCUUCAUUGAAUCCAGAGAAUGUCAAGUCAAAGUCAUCCAUUUGUUGAAAUUGGUGUUUUUUGUGGGUAUGGUAGCUUUGGUUAGUGAUUUUCAUCAUCUCUUUACAUCAAUCUCAUCUCCUAUCUUCAUUUUAAUAACCACUUCUUUAUCAAUUAGCAAAUGUAGAAUUUCUCAGGUAAAGCAUACAAGCUAGACACUAAGAGUUUCUCUGAGAAUUUUCCUUCAAACUAAUCUAGAUAUGAUUUUUUUGUAGUCUCAUGUAUGACCAUCAGUCUUAACUGUAACAUUUGCAUUUGUUGUUAAAAUUAUUCAGUUUAAAGUUAUCCAUUUCACACCUUGAAGGAGUUGCGUGUUAUAAAUCCUUUGUAAGUAAAUUGGUUGUGAAUUAAUUGCAAAUAUUUUGUUGAGUCACAUUGUGACGAAGUAAUACGAUGUGUGAUACUGCUCUCAUUCAUUGAAAUUAUUGUAUUUGGUGUUUUCUAUCUUAGCGUAGUAAUUGAUAGUAUAUUCAGUGCAUUCACACUAGCGUUGGCCAAUAUAUCAAAAAAUAUAUAAAAAUUUUCCAGUCUAAUUAUUAAUAUUGUAAAAGGAUUUUUCUCUGAGUGAUAUAGAACAAUGAGUAUUAGAAUUAAUAAUUAUGGUAUUUGAAUGGCGUUGGCUCCUGUAAAUUUUAUGAACCGUGAUAUAUUAUAACUUAUUUUGGUAUUAAUUAUUAAUACCUACCUUCUAAUUAUGAUAGAAUUCUUAAGACCUUAUUAAUGACUACUUUCUUAACUCAAAAAUUCUAGGAAAGGAAGAAUAUUAGUGGGACCGCAGAACCAUAUUACCCAUUCUUCAUGUAGUGAUUUUUUGUAGAUGGCUCUUUUUUUGGGUAUUAUUCUAAAUUACUAAGAAAUUGGCCUUUAUCUCGUUAAAUUUCAGAGUUAAUUUUGAAUUGGAACCUGGAGCAGUAGGUCAGUGGACUGAUUUCAAGGAAUCAAACAAGAGGCUUGAGUGGAAUCUGAAGAAGGCUAUUCUCUUGCUCUUUAACACUGCUGAAUUAGCAUUAGAUUCCACUUAUUUUAAUGUCUGCAUAGUUAAAGAAGUUGCUAAUAGGUGUGAUAUGCAACAGAUUGUUGGUGAGUCUGAACACACUUUACGCAUGAAGCUAACAUUUCCACAGGAGUUGCAUGGUAUGAUUGAAGUGGCUUGAAAUAUUUUAUAUUGAAAUUUGUUGUGCAACCUUUUAACUUGGCCAUUAUUGUGAUCAUUGCUUGGUAACAUUGGAAAUAUCACAAAGGAAGCUGGACCUGUCAGCAUGACCUUCACAAUACCUAUGUCAUCAUAG
rnacentral:lncRNA from 1 species